CUUAGAAGCAGCCACCCUUGAAAGAGUGCGUAAUAGCUCACUGGUCAAGUGAUUCUGCGCCGAUAAUGUAGCGGGGCUCAAGUACACCGCCGAAGCUGUGUCACUCCAUUUAUGUGGGGUGGGUAGGGGAGCGUCGUGUGGCCGGUGAAGCUGCGGGGGAACCCAGUGGUGGAGGCUAUGCGAGUGAGAAUGCAGGCAUGAGUAGCGAAAGACGGGUGAGAAACCCGUCCUCCGAAUGAUCAAGGGUUCCGGGGCUAGGUUAAUCCGCCCCGGGUUAGUCGGGACCUAAGGCGAGGCCGACAGGCGUAGUCGAUGGAUAACGGGUUGAUAUUCCCGUACCGAUAGUGUGAGGACCCAUACCGAGGCGUGUGAUGCUAACCACCCGAGCUGCUGCUUCCUUCCCUUUGGGUUGGUUGUUGGUGGUGAGGCUGGGAACCAAGCAUGUAGUAGGUCAGCGUGUGGGAUGACGCAGUGAGGUAGCUUCCGCGGGGUAAUGGUUGUCCCCGUUCAAGCGAGCAGCCCGAGUGCGAGUAAUGUUGCGCUCUUGUGGGUGAGUCGUGAUGAGGACCCUUUAUUGGGGUAGGUGGGUGAUCCUGGACUGCCGAGAAAAGUUCCGGCGUGACGAGCACUAUUGCCCGUACCCUAAACCGACUCAGGUGAUCAGGUAGAGAAUACUAAGGAGUUCGAGAGAAUCGUGGUUAAGGAACUCGGCAAAAUGCCCCCGUAACUUCGGGAGAAGGGGGGCCUGAGGUGUGAGAGCACUGAUGGCCGCAGAGACCAGGGAGAAGCGACUGUUUACUAAAAACACAGGUCCGUGCGAAGACGUAAGUCGCUGUAUACGGACUGACGCCUGCCCGGUGCUGGAAGGUUAAGAGGACUGGUUAGCCCCUUUGGGGGCGAAGCUGAGAAUUUAAGCCCCAGUAAACGGCGGUGGUAACUAUAACCAUCCUAAGGUAGCGAAAUUCCUUGUCGGGUAAGUUCCGACCUGCACGAAUGGCGUAACGACUUCUCCACUGUCUCAACCGCGAACUCGGCGAAAUUGCAUUACGAGUAAAGAUGCUCGUUACGCGCAGCAGGACGGAAAGACCCCGGGACCUUUACUAUAGCUUGGUAUUGGUGGCUGGUUGUGUUUGUGUAGGAUAGGUGGGAGACGUUGAAGCAGUCACGCUAGUGGUUGUGGAGUCGGCAAGUGAAAUACCACUCUGAUGUUGCUGGUUAUCUGAACCUGGACCCAUUAUCUGGGUUAGGGACAGUGCCUGGUGGGUAGUUUAACUGGGGCGGUUGCCUCCUAAAUGGUAACGGAGGCGCUCAAAGGUUUCCUCAUCCUGGUUGGUAAUCAGGGUUCGAGUGUAAGUGCACAAGGAAGCUUGACUGUGACACUGACGGGUGGAGCAGGUACGAAAGUAGGAACUAGUGAUCCGGCAAUGGCUUAUGGAAGCGUUGUCGCUCAACGGAUAAAAGGUACCCCGGGGAUAACAGGCUGAUCUUGCCCAAGA
rnacentral:rRNA from 1 species